GUUCAAUCCCAGUUCAUCCCAGUUCAUCCCAGUUCAUCCCAGUUCAAUCCCAUUCAAUCCCAGUUCAUCCCAGUUCAAUCCCAGUUCAAUCCCAGUUCAUCCCAUUCAAUCCCAGUUCAUCCCAGUUCAAUCCCAGUUCAUCCCAGUCCAUCCCAGUUCAUCCCAGUUCAAUCCCAGUUCAAUCCCAGUCCAUCCCAGUUCAUCCCAGUUCAAUCCCAGUCCAUCCCAGUUCAUCCCAGUUCAAUCCCAGUUCAAUCCCAGUUCAUCCCAGUCCCUCCCAGUCCCUCCC